ACAAUUAACCCUUUCCCGGCUUUAGCCGUCAUAUGACGGCAGCGGUAGUGAUAAUUUUCAAAAAAUCGUUGUGGGCGCUGUGUUGGAGCUAUGCGCACGCUGUAGGUACCAGCACAUGCGCAUUGGGCUGCUCUUUCACGUGGUAUCUUUAAUAUCUUGCCUCGAGGUACACUUUGUGCAGUACUGUCGAAAGAAAAGUGACCGUUUGAUAAUGGCUACAAGAUCUUUGUAGUACAACCUCAGCGAGGUUCUAGGGCAGCUAGACAGUGAGAAUAACGAUGCUUAUGGCCUUGUUGAGUAAGAGGACAGUGACUGGGAUCAUACUAAGAGAGGAAACUACUUUUCAGAGGUCAAGCUAUAAACAUAGAGCCUAAAGAGCCAGAGGAAGAAGCUCCUGAGCAUGAACCAAAGUCCUGGACCUUGUGAAGAAAACAUUUCCCGGGAAAAGAGCGUCUGCCGAUACGACCUCGCAGAGAAGUUUCUGCUGAUCCUGAUUGAACCAUGUCACCGUAAGAACAUUGAGAACACUUACUUAGUGUUUUUAGUUACUUCAUGCCUUCAUACAAUAUUCUUUAUGUUCAUAA